UCAGUGUGGCAAAUUUAGCUUUCAUGUUGACCACUCUGCUAUUAAUUGAACGACCAAAUGAAGAGAAGUAGCCAUACCAGUUAGACCUACUCAGAAUCAAAGACGCUAUUUAUUAUAAGUCUCGUAAGAGAUGGUUAUCAAAAGCACUUGCAUGCCAGUGUUUUCUUGUGCCAUUUCUUUCUACAAUAAAUCUAUUUGGCUUCUGUUUCACCUUAGCUGUCAUAGACAUGUUGUUUAGGUAUCAUAUUGUCAUUACUAACUUUUUGUUUAUUAGGGCAUAAGACCUAAGAAUCUAGACAUUAAUCUGAUGUGAUUGUUCUGUUAUAGUUAGCCUGUACUCCCAUUUUUUGUUCUUUGUACUUCCCCUUUAUUUUGAGUACAUAUAUGUGUCAUUGACAACUGCAGAUUUUUCCAAUUAUUCUUCCUCAGUCUUUUCCUUUGGGUAAGUAACUCAGCAUACAUAAUUCAGCCACCUGAUAAUUAUAACUCCACCAUAUCUCCACUGAAAGAACUGUAGUAGCAUCAGGCUAAACAGCAUUAAGUUAUCUAACACUCACAUUACAGUAGUAGUGUAAACCAAUUCCUUCAAGUAUACCUUUCUCUUCUAUUUUUGGCUUCUCGCUCUCUUUUUUUUUUUUUUUGUAGAUGGGUCAAUGCCCAUUAUCACUCUAGAUGGAUAAGGGAGCCUUAAUUAUAUACUUACAUGUUUGCACUGUCAGAUUGGAGUGGGUAAAAAUGUUUCUUCUUUUAUGUUUAAUACUCUUUUUUUAUUUAUUUAUUCUUUUUACUGUGCCCUAGACCAUUACAUAACUGAAGACUCCCACCUUCAGGCAGGAUUGCAUAGUACAUGUUUGUAACUACUUCACAUUGUCUGUUGUUGAGACAAACCAUUGGAUAUUGAGUUUAUGAAGCGUUUGCAUGAAAAAGUGAAUAUCAUCCCACUUAUUGUCAAAGCAGACACACUCACACCAGAGGAAUGCCAACAGUUUAAAAAACAGAAAGGAUGAACAUUUUAAAAACAAAGUUUUCUUUUCCCCGUUUUGUAAACACCUGUUCAAAUCCUUUGUCUUUUUGACCAGUAGUACUUGGUAUUGCCCGUAUUUAUUGAUAUGGGUUCUUUUUAUUCUGGGUAUUUAGUUCUCUCUCAUUUUCACUGUAUUUUUUAUGUUUUUUCUUUUGCUGCUUAUAUCCUAUUUUUGUUUUCAGUGCACUUUAUAGGAUAUUUAUAGUUUAAGUUAUUGUUCAAACCCAUGACCCUAAAAUUAAGAGUCUCAUGCUGUAUGACUGAGCUAGCUGGAAGACCGCUAAACUGUUUCUCUAGACUCAUGUCUAGUUGUCUCAGUAAUAUUGAGUUAUACAGUCACACAUAUUUCUAAUUUAAUUGUGUUUGGUUCAUUAUAUAUUACAUUUUAUGAAAUGUAGGGUCAAUUCUGGAACCUUUCUCUCUUCCAGUAGUCUUUAUUUUUGGCCAGUAGUAUAUUGUUUAAACCACAGCAACUUUGUAUAAUAUUUAAAAAUAGAUUGUAAUUGUCUCUAUUGUCCGUAUAGUACUGUUGUAACAAAAUAUUUUGUUUUUCACCUUUUUCAAUAUGAAUUUCAGAAUACCUUGAAACCUGUUAUUAAAAGCCCGUUAAAAUUUGCUUUGAAGUUAUGCUAAAUUCAUAUAAAUUUUCAGAAUGUUUGAGUACAUUUUUACUGUAUCUAGCAUUUUUCUGUUUUACACUUACCCAUUUCCAUUUUUAGUUUGUAAUGUGCUAAGUUUCAAAUACUGUCAUGUAAUACAUUUCUCUUCUUUUAUUAUGUAUUUCAAUUUGGAUUUUUACUGAUAAAAUAAAAAAGAUGAAUAUGAAGUGACCUCUUCUUUCAAAUUGGUCAUAUUCUGGUGGUUGUACUCAGGUCAUUUAAUACACAACCUCUGACUAAAACCACUGGUUUUAGAGCCAGCUGCUAUUAUUCGUUUUUCUCAUCAUGUGUUUUCACCUCAUUUAUUCUGUUUUAUUUUGUUUUUUUUUUUAAUAUAUAUAGGUAGGUACAUACCCUAAUUGUAAAAUAUAUGUGGUUCUAUUUUUUUUUCAGUGACAAUUUUAUUUCUGUUUGCUUCUAUCUAGUAUAGUAACCAUGUAACACAAUUUGUUCAGGGUCCUUUUAUAGCUACUGGGAACCUUUGCCAUGAAAAUUGCACCAAAA